UGGGUUAGAGAUGGGGUUAGGUUGGGUUAAAGAUGGGGUUAGGUUGGGUUAAAGAUGGGGUUAGGUUGGGUUAGAGAUGGGGUUAGGUUGGGUUAGAGAUGGGGUUAGGUUGGGUUAAAGAUGGGGUUAGGUUUGAGCCAGCAUGUGGAUGGAUAUAUUUGAGUCUAAGUGUAACGGUUUUCUUCCUGGGAAGGAGAGGAGGACCAAAAUGUAGCGUGGUUAUUGUUAAGCAUCUUAAAUAAAGACGAAAACACGAUACAAAUACAACAUAAGAAAACGUGGCAAAACCGAAACAGUCCUAACUGGUGCAGAGAACGCAGAGACAGGAAACAACCACCCACAAGAUACCUAAAGAAUAUGGCUGCCUAAAUAUGGUUCCCAAUCAGAGACAACGAUAAACACCUGCCUCUGAUUGAGAACCACUCCAGGCAACCAUAGACUUACCUAGACAACUCUACUAAACACAACCCCAUAAAUGUAAUAAACCCCUAGAUAAGACCAAACACAAUAAAUCACCCAUGUCACACCCUGUUCUAAUCAAAAUAAUAAAGAAAACACAGAUAACUAAGGCCAGGACACUAAGGAUAUAUAGUUUGAGGAUAUAUAAUGAAUUCUCUGUCUGUAUUGGCCAGAUUGAACCCUAUUUCUAGUCCU